rnacentral:rRNA from 1 species
UUGCCUCAGUAACGGCGAGUGAAGCGGCAAUAGCUCAAAUUUGAAAUCUGCUCUUUGAGCCGAAUUGUAAUUUGUAGAGGAUGCUUCGGCUUACGUUUCGGUCUAAGUUCCUUGGAACAGGACGUCAUAGAGGGUGAGAAUCCCGUCUGUGGCCGAGACUUCCGCCAUGUGAAGCUCCUUCGACGAGUCGAGUUGUUUGGGAAUGCAGCUCUAAAUGGGAGGUAUAUUUCUUCUAAAGCUAAAUACCGGCCAGAGACCGAUAGCGCACAAGUAGAGUGAUCGAAAGAUGAAAAGCACUUUGGAAAGAGAGUUAAAAAGUACGUGAAAUUGUUGAAAGGGAAGCGUUUGCGACCAGACUUGCCCGCGGAUGCUCAACCGGUCCUUCGGCCGGUGCACUCUUCCGCGGUCAGGCCAGCAUCAGUUCGAGUAGCCAGAUAAAGGCAUUGGGAAUGUGGCUCUCUUCGGGGAGUGUUAUAGCCCUUUGUGUAAUAUGGUUCAUUUGGACUGAGGCCCGCGCUUCGGCUAGGAUGCUGGCGUAAUGGUCGUAAGCGGCCCGUCUUGAAACACGGACCAAGGAGUCUAACAUCUAUGCGAGUGUUUGGGUGUCAAACCCGUGCGCGAAAUGAAAGUGAACGGAGGUGGGAACCUUUGGGUGCACCAUCGACCGAUCCUGAUGUCUUCGGAUGGAUUUGAGUAAGAGCAUAGCUGUUGGGACCCGAAAGAUGGUGAACUAUGCCUGAAUAGGGUGAAGCCAGAGGAAACUCUGGUGGAGGCUCGCAGCGGUUCUGACGUGCAAAUCGAUCGUCAAAUUUGGGUAUAGGGGCGAAAGACUAAUCGAACCAUC